GACGAACGCUGGCGGCGUGCUUAACACAUGCAAGUCGAGCGGUAAGGCUCCUUCGGGAGUACACGAGCGGCGAACGGGUGAGUAACACGUGAGUAAUCUGCCCUUCACUUCGGGAUAACCGCCGGAAACGGUGGCUAAUACCGGAUACGACGACCACCCGCACGGGUGGUGGUGGAAAGUUUUUUCGGUGGGGGAUGUGCUCGCGGCCUAUCAGCUUGUUGGUGGGGUAAUGGCCUAGCAAGGCUUCGACGGGUAGCCGGCCUGAGAGGGUGACCGGCCACACUGGGACUGAGACACGGCCCAGACUCCUACGGGAGGCAGCAGUGGGGAAUAUUGGACAAUGGGCGGAAGCCUGAUCCAGCAACGCCGCGUGAGGGAUGACGGCCUUCGGGUUGUAAACCUCUUUCAGUACCGACGAAGCGCCGAUGAUGGUGGUGACGGUAGGUACAGAAGAAGCACCGGCCAACUACGUGCCAGCCGCCGCCGUAAAAC
rnacentral:rRNA from 1 species